ensembl:lncRNA
CUUGGUAGCCUGGUGGUUAGAGUGUUCGGAGAGUAACCAAAAGGUUGCUUGUUCAAAUCCAAGAGCCAGCAAGGUGGAAGAAUCUGCUGUUCUGCCCUUGAGCAAGGCAGUUAAUCCCCAAAACAAUUGGGUGCAGAUGAAGUUGAUUAAGCUGAAUGGAUUGCUUGACUGCCGUGAUGCCGUCUAGACACAACACUAAAUGGAACACUUCAAGUCUUUGGGAGCAAAUCAGCAAGUUUGCCUUGUGAAGUCAAAGCCAUUACAAUGAGCUCGUCCUCCUAUAGCUCCUCCUACCAGCCUCCUCUCAUGUGCAUGUAUGUGUGGGAAUGCAUGGAUGACCUGCACUGGCAGCAGAGCUGAUAAACCCCUUCAAGAACAAGAAGCCCUGCAUCUUCCUAUAGCUCCGCCCCAUCCCAGACUUGAACUGUCAAUCACUGACUUUGACCUCUGACCUCAAAACACUAUGGGAUACUCCGGUGAAACCCCAACCUCAAAGUGACCUUGAGGGACAGAGAGGUGAUGUCACUUCAAGGCGCUCACAGACCUACUGUAUAACUGUGAAUAUAUACUACAGUGAUAACUGAUAAUGCCC